ensembl:rRNA 5S_rRNA 5S ribosomal RNA
GCUUACGGCCAUACCAGCCAAAGAACGCCCAAUCUUGUCUGAUCUCGGAAGCUAAGAAGGCUUAGGCCUGGAUAGUACUUGGAUGAGAGACUGCCUGGGAAUACCAGGUGCCCUAAUUA